ACUGAGCGCUGGCGGCAGGCCUAACACAUGCAAGUCGAGCGGAUGAUGGGAGCUUGCUCCUGGAUUCAGCGGCGGACGGGUGAGUAAUGCCUAGGAAUCUGCCUGGUAGUGGGGGACAACGUUUCGAAAGGAACGCUAAUACCGCAUACGUCCUACGGGAGAAAGCAGGGGACCUUCGGGCCUUGCGCUAUCAGAUGAGCCUAGGUCGGAUUAGCUUGUUGGUGAGGUAAUGGCUCACCAAGGCGACGAUCCGUAACUGGUCUGAGAGGAUGAACAGUCACACUGGAACUGGGACACUGUCCAGACUCCUACGGGAGGCAGCAGUGGGGAAUAUUGGACAAUGGGCGAAAGCCUGAUCAAGCCAUGCCGCGUGUGUGAAGAAGGUCUUCGGAUUGUAAAGCACUUUAAGUUGGGAGGAAGGGUUGUAGAUUAAUACUCUGCAAUUUUGACGUUACCGACAGAAUAAGCACCGGCUAACUCUGUGCCAGCAGCCGCCGUAAGAC
rnacentral:rRNA from 1 species